rnacentral:rRNA from 1 species
GAUGAACGCUGGCGGCGUGCUUAACACAUGCAAGUCGAACGAAGCAUUUAGAACAGAUUACUUCGGUUUGAAGUUCUUUAUGACUGAGUGGCGGAUGGGUGAGUAACGCGUGGGUAACCUGCCUUGUACUGGGGGAUAGCAGCUGGAAACGGCUGGUAAUACCGCAUAAGCGCACAAUGUUGCAUGACAUGGUGUGAAAAACUCCGGUGGUAUAAGAUGGACCCGCGUCUGAUGAGCUAGUUGGUGAGAUAACAGCCCACCAAGGCGACGAUCAGUAGCCGACCUGAGAGGGUGAUCGGCCACAUUGGGACUGAGACACGGCCCAGACUCCUACGGGAGGCAGCAGUGGGGAAUAUUGCACAAUGGAGGAAACUCUGAUGCAGCGACGCCGCGUGAGUGAAGAAGUAAUUCGUUAUGUAAAGCUCUAUCAGCAGGGAAGAUAGUGACGGUACCUGACUAAGAAGCUCCGGCUAAAUACGUGCCAGCAGCCGCAGUAA